rnacentral:rRNA from 1 species
AGAUUGAACGCUGGCGGCAGGCCUAACACAUGCAAGUCGAGCGGUAGAGAGGUGCUUGCACCUCUUGAGAGCGGCGGACGGGUGAGUAAUGCCUAGGAAUCUGCCUAGUGGUGGGGGAUAACGUUCGGAAACGGACGCUAAUACCGCAUACGUCCUACGGGAGAAAGCGGGGGACCUUCGGGCCUCGCGCCAUUAGAUGAGCCUAGGUCGGAUUAGCUAGUUGGUGAGGUAAUGGCUCACCAAGGCGACGAUCCGUAACUGGUCUGAGAGGAUGAUCAGUCACACUGGAACUGAGACACGGUCCAGACUCCUACGGGAGCAGCAGUGGGGAAUAUUGGACAAUGGGCGAAAGCCUGAUCCAGCCAUGCCGCGUGUGUGAAGAAGGUCUUCGGAUUGUAAAGCACUUAAGUUGGAGAAGGUUGUAACUAAUACGUUGCAACUUUGACGUUACGACAGAAUAAGCAACCGGCUAACUUCGUGACCAGCAGCCG